UUGCAUUGGCCCCGGGGAGAGAUCCAGGACUUACUCGGUGUGAGGAACAAACCUAGAUUCUCAGCAGGGGAAAGAGAUUUCAAACCGCGGCAGCCAGGGGCCUUGACCAGGCAACAUCGUGCACGAGCCAAGUGUGCUGAGUCUGAAGAGCUGGAAAAUAUGUUUCCCAGGUAUCCUUGCAGGUAGAUUCAGGGUGUGACCUUAGGAGCCACCAAGCAGCUGGACUCAGGUGAGACUGGAUUUGGAACGAA
rnacentral:lncRNA from 1 species